rnacentral:rRNA from 1 species
AACGAACGCUGGCGGCAGGCUUAACACAUGCAAGUCGAGCGCCCCGCAAGGGGAGCGGCAGACGGGUGAGUAACGCGUGGGAACGUACCCUUUGCUACGGAAUAGCUCCGGGAAGCUGGAAUUAAUACCGUAUGUGCCCUACGGGGGAAAGAUUUAUCGGCAAAGGAUCGGCCCCCGUUGGAUUAGCUAGUUGGUGGGGUAAUGGCCUACCAAGGCGACGAUCCAUAGCUGGUCUGAGAGGAUGAUCAGCCACAUUGGGACUGAGACACGGCCCAAACUCCUACGGGAGGCAGCAGUGGGGAAUAUUGGACAAUGGGCGCAAGCCUGAUCCAGCCAUGCCGCGUGAGUGAUGAAGGCCUUAGGGUUGUAAAGCUCUUUCACCGGAGAAGAUAAUGACGGUAUCCGGAGAAGAAGCCCCGGCUAACUUCGUGCCAGCCGCCGCAGUAAUAC